UAUUUUCUAGGCACAUUCUCUCCUAGGCUUCACUUUUUGUUUUAUUUACUUUGUACAUUUGGGUGGGUGGUGGUGGGUGAGGGUGUACCACAGUCAGUGUGGGGAAGUCAGAGGACAACUCAGGGCAGUCAGUUUUCUCCUUCUACCAAGCGUGUCCUGGGAACCAAACUCGGGUGCUCAGGCUUAGGGGCAGGCUUUUUUUUACCCACUAACUAACUCUCAUAUACGUUAAAACAUCCAUAGUUUAUGGGGCUAGAGAUAUAACUUGCUGAAGAAUAACACCAUUUGCUGAAGAAGCCUGAGGAACUGGUUUCAACCCCCCUGUACCCAUGUAAAAAGUGGGGAGGCCACACAUGCCUGUGGUGUAGGGGGUUCUUCUAUCUAUGUGUUGCUUUCAUUGGUUGAAUAAAGAAACUGCCUUGGCCUUUUGAUAGGGCACCACUUAGGUAGGCGGAGUAGACAGAACUGAAUGCUGGGAAGAAGGGCAGAGGGAGAACCGCCAUGGAGCUGCCAGGUCAAACAUGCUGAAUCUUCUCCGGGCUCGUGCCAAUGGGCACCUGCUGGCUUCGCUGGAGCACAGAGCACGGCAGCACUCAUUCGUGGACGGAUGCGACAGAGGGAGUGUGCAGGCCUGCAGCGUAUCUACCAAUGGGACAAUGCGUUCAGACAGAUGACUCUCAGAGGACAGUCCGUGUCACAUGGAGAAAGAGGAUAUUCAGAUGAAGAAGGGCAAGCAUCAGCUAAUAUCUGUUGCAUGCUUGCAAGAAGCCAUCCAGGAUCCAGAGGUGUCCAGCUCUUUGAGGCUAAUCCUGUUUUGCCAAUCUCAUCACUUGAUUGCUUGAUAGCUGACUGUGGAAAAUGUUGAAUUAUGGGGCUGAAGGAGUUGAGGACUUGCCUGACAUGAUGAAGCUCUGGGCUCAAUCACUUUACCCACGAGUGCCGUCUUGGAUUCUCAGUGCUUCCAGGGCUGCCUGUGUGUUUCUGAGAGGCACUGGCCGGCCAGCAGUGAGCCUCCUCACCCUGCUGAAGAUACACAUUCUUAGAAAGCUGUCUGCAACUGAAGCGAAGAGCAGAAGCUUUGUCGAUUCACGGGCCAGCAGCAACAAUACCUGUAGUGCAAAGCUUCCGCCCGUUCCACACGAAGCCGGCAAGCUUCCGAUCCUGUUCAAAGACAGCUUUCCC